UCGAGAUGUAGUGGGCAAAUUCUCCCCUACCGAACAACAAAAUUAAUGUGGACACCCUGUCACUUCCCCGGACUAUAUGUUUCUGAUAUCACAAGCCAUCGUGAUCGCGUGCAGUCCGCACGCGCAUAGACUGUUUAUGUUUUGGACUUCUGGGAAGGCAGCUAGGUAACCAUUACAAAGCGGCCUACCCGUGACGUAGGCACGUUGUUUGUAUAUAUACACCGACCACGUGUCUUUGUUAUCGUAUUGCCCAUUACUUGCUCUGCCGAUUGUUUUGGGAUUUCCUGAGGAGAUUUGGAGUUAAAGUGUAUUAGCGGUACAGUCACAGAACACAAACCUGGUGACUUUUACCGAUGAAGGAAGUGAGGGGGACAUGUGUGGCCUCUUAUAUUGAUGAUGGCGGCUAAAGAGGAUAUUCGGGUGUGUGGGGAGAGACUGAGGAACAUAGGGGACAGUUUGUACCAGGAGUAUGGUCAGUCAAAUGACCGCUGGGUCAGAGGUACGUGUCGUAUGGGUAGAGUUUCAUUACUCAUCCUCUCCCUUCUCUUCAGAAUCGCCAUCCACACUGGAAACCUCUGAAUGGGUGUCACCAGAUAUGUCUGCCUACCUCGUGAAGUUCUGUGGAGCUAUCAGAGUUUACGUGUGUGUGUUUAACGGAUUCCUGUCAUUCUCCCAGGUGGCCGCUAGUCAGGCUAGGUGAAGGAGACAGAAAGACAUGUGGCUGCCCGCGUGCCUAAACAAUUGUCGUCUAGGAGUUUACGGAUCUUAAUUGAUAAUACGGAAUGACGUUUAAUUUUGGAUGGAACAAUUUUAAUUUGACAGCAUGUCUGUCUGUAUGGACAAGUUCAAUAACUAGAACUAUUUAUACCGGAUGUGCAAAUACUCGCAUACACGAUAUCGACAAUUUAGUGUUUUACUAAAGGAUUUCGUGAGAAGGAUUAAGACUUAAUGACAUAAUUAUUAUAAUGUUUGACACUGAGAUGUACAUGGUGCGUCGAAGCAUUGAAGCCAGUGUAUCAGGAAACGCGUGUGAUUUGAGUACACGUGUCCUUGUAAAUAACUGUUUGAUAAAAUAAAAGAUGGAGACAUUGUUAUGCAAACAUUUAUAUGGCAAGGCUAUGGGGAGGACACUUUUAUUUGUGACAAGAGGAAAAAUAAAGACACUGUAUACAAUGGUCGAGUCAUAGUUAUGUUGGUCACACACAAACAUACACGUAACAUGGAUUAUAAUGAAGGCAUUAUUACACAAAUGUUUGUGUGUUAGUGCCAGUGACAAUUUAUAGGCACUAAUUGACAAGCGUGCCUGUGACCUAGUAACGUAAACCUGUCUUUGCUAGUGACACUUUGAAGACGGUAAAGACAAACAUUUUCAGGAAUGAACUCGAAUUCGGUUGCCUACACAUCAUCUUACCGAAAUGUGCAUUUCCCAGCACAGGUAUAUCGAAGUUACCGUGUGUGGGAUAUACAGAAUGUGUUCAGAGAUUAGUGAAACGAAGUAAUAUCAGACUGUCUAUUCAGCAUCGAGAUAUAAUGGCUUACAAUUUCAGAUAUUUUUUCUGUUUUUGUUCAUAAUUUAUUAUUAUUUUUUGUUUUUUGUUUUUUUUUCUUUCUCUUUUUCCCUCUUUUUGUGUAUGUUUUGAUGAAUUAUAAAAUAUAUUUUUGUUCAAAAUCAUUAGAAAUUGGCUACCCGUUCAAAUCCGAUCCAUUUUUGUAUGGUGAUAAUCGGGCAAUACAAUUGUGGAUUUCGCCAAUCCAUUUCAGGGUAAUUUCAUCGGGCAUUGUCGGUGAUCAGUGCAUUUGAUCAGAUGUUGAAGGAAAUUCAUCCGACACCACUUUAUCUGAUUCACUUUUCAUAACCACUUAAGAUUUCAAAAUCUGAUCUAUUUUGCUACAGAUUUUCAAGAAAAAGUCAAAUGUUGCCAUUCAGACCGAUUUUGGUGCCAAUGGAAUAUUGAAUGUGUUCACCUGUGUCAGGUGUGACAGGGUAUAGACUGACUUCAAAACACUGCAAACACACUAGGUUAUUAAUUUAUUGGCUACCUGCCGAGUCGGGUAUUGAAGUCUGACUGUACGCUGUGAGUACCUGACAAACAGGGUAUAUAUGUUAAUGAAUCUCGCCAUUGAGUUAGGGUGAUGAUAUGUUUUCUGAAGGUUGUGAGUUGAGACAAAUGAUAACUGAUGAUAUUUGAGCGUCGCUGUGGGGAGUGGGAGAAGCUAUGAACUGUGAUAUGGAUUGUGAUAGAGGUUAUGUAUGGAAGGUUGUGUUUUAUACAGAUGAUGCUGAAAAUAAAAAUAAAAUAAUUCUGAAAUGAU